UACGUAGGAUGCAAGCGUUGUCCGGAAUUAUUGGGCGUAAAGAGCGCGCAGGCGGUUUGAGAAGUCAGAUGUGAAAGAGGCCGGCUUAACCGGCAAGGGUCAUUUGAAACUGACAGACUAGAGUACAGCAGAGGAUAGCGGAAUUCCCGGUGUAGUGGUGAAAUGCGUAGAUAUCGGGAGGAACACCAGUGGCGAAGGCGGCUAUCGUGGGCUGAAACUGACGCUGAGGCGCGAAGGCUAGGGUAGCAAACAGG
rnacentral:rRNA from 1 species